rnacentral:misc_RNA from 1 species
UUUCCGUAGGUGAACCUGCGGAAGGAUCAUUAUUGUAUAACCGAGGUGCGAGGGCUGUCGCUGACCCGAAAGGUCGUGCACGCCCGAGUGCCCUCACACGCAUCCAUCUCACCCCUAUGUGCACCACCGCGUGGGUCCCCCUUUGGCUUGUUCGGAGGGGGGCUUACGUUUUCACACAAACUUUGUAUGCAGUGUAGAAUGUAUUUUUUGUUCUUGCGAUCACGCAAUCAAUACAACUUUCAACAACGGAUCUCUUGGCUCUC